UACGAAGGGGGCUAGCGUUGUUCGGAAUUACUGGGCGUAAAGCGCACGUAGGCGGACUACUAAGUCAGGGGUGAAAUCCCGGGGCUCAACCCCGGAACUGCCUUUGAUGCUGAUAGUCUCGAGUCCGGAAGAGGUGAGUGGAAUUCCGAGUGUAGAGGUGAAAUUCGUAGAUAUUCGGAGGAACACCAGUGGCGAAGGCGGCUCACUGGUCCGGUACUGACGCUGAGGUGCGAAAGCGUGGGGAGCAAACAGG
rnacentral:rRNA from 1 species